rnacentral:rRNA from 1 species
UGCCAGCAGCCGCGGUAAGACGAACCGUCCAAACGUUAUUCGGAAUUACUGGGCUUAAAGGGUGCGUAGGCGGCUUGGCAAGUUGGGUGUGAAAUCCCUCGGCUCAACCGGGGAACUGCGCUCAAAACUGCCAGGCUAGAGGAAGAUAGAGGUGAGCGGAACUAAUGGUGGAGCGGUGAAAUGCGUUGAUAUCAUUAGGAACACCUGUGGCGAAAGCGGCUCACUGGGUCUUUUCUGACGCUGAGGCACGAAAGCUAGGGUAGCGAACGGGAUUAGAUA